rnacentral:lncRNA from 1 species
CGGAACCCAAGGCCCAGCCCCGCGCACGCGCGCCGCGGCCGUCGCCCAGAGCAGCGUCUGCUAGUUACCUUUCACCUACUUCGCCGCGAUUCGCUGCGCGGGGUAACUCCAGGUCAGACUCGGGGCCUAGCGCGCUUGCGCGCCGCCCGCCGCGGCUGGGCGUCCGGAGCUUUUAUCUGAUGGCUAAGUUGAAGACAGCUGGGGCUGCCGCACGCCUCGGGCGUUUCGAGUUCCCAACCACGGCACCCUCAGUGAUGGUUUUCAGAAGACUUUGUUAGCUUCUCUGCUCCAGAGACCCAUCCUUCGCUGACAUCCCAUCGAUUUGGGAGCAGGAAAAAACAGAUUCCUGCAAAAUACCUCUUCUUCCGGUGCCCUAUACCCCUCUCUAUCUACUUCGGGUCCCUGCAGUCCAGCAACAACCCCGAACGAGUGAAGGGAGGAGACAUUGGUUUGUCCAGGCUCUGCCACCGACGGGUGAUUUGGGUUAAGUCCGUCUCCAGUGGCAUUGUCUUCAACUAUAAAACAUGAGGGUUAGUCCGAAUGAUCUCCAAACCCUUCAGCAUUUAAGUUAGGUGAUGAAUCCUAAGAUUUUGCAAUUCUGUGGUGUCAUGUCUCCUCCAUUUCAGAUAGGGCCCGCAGGGAAUGUUGUUAAGGACAACCGCCAUCAGUUAUAAGUUUGUUCUGUGAUUGGACAGUUUGAGGUCUUCUAGAUUUCUUUGGCAUGACGCAUAACUAUUUCAAGAUACUAACAUUUGGGCAGGGAGCGGUGGCUCAGGCCUGUAGUCCUAGCACUUUGGGGGGCCGAGGCGGGCAGAUCACUUGAGGUCAGGAGGUAGAGACCAGCCUGGCCAACAUGGUGAAACCCCAUCUCUACUAAAAAUAUAAAAAUUAGCCGGGUGUGGCGGCACAUGCCUGUAAUCCCAGCUACUCAGGAGGCUGAGGCAGAAGAAUCGCUUGAACCUAGGAGGCGGAGGUUGCAGUGAGCUGAGAUCAUGCCACUGCACUCCAGCCUGGGCAGCAGAGGGAGACUCCUCAAAAAAAAAAAAAAAAAAAAAAAAAGAUAUUAACAUUUAAGGUUAAGAAUGUAGGUCAUUUC